CAUAGUUCACCUCCGGGCAAAGCCAGAGGAAACUCUGGUGGCAGUCCAUAGUGGUCCUUAUGUACAAAUCGGUCAUCCAACCUGGGUAUAAAGAGUGAAAGACUAAUCGAACCAUCUAGUAG
rnacentral:ncRNA from 1 species